CCCUUAGAUGUUCGGGGCCGCACGCGCGCUACACUGAAGGACUCAGCGUGUCUCUCCCCCUAUCCCGAAAGGGAUGGGCAACCCGUUGAACCUCCUUCGUGCUAGGGAUUGGGGUUUGCAAUUAUCCCCCAUGAACGAGGAAUGCCUAGUAAACGCAAGUCAUCAGCUUGCAUUGAUUACGUCCCUGCCCUUUGUACACACCGCCCGUCGCUCCUACCGAUUGAACGUUCCGAUGAAUACCAUGGAUUGAGAGUCUGAAUGGGUUCGCCUAUUUCUGCUUCUCGAGAAGUGGAGUAAAUCUUAGCGUUUAGAGGAAGGAGAAGUCGUAACA
rnacentral:rRNA from 1 species